AGGUCACAGCUUCCACCCACAAGUGGACCUCUACCACCCUCAUUGCCGGGAAGGUGCUUUGCACUCAGAGCCUGGCUGGCCUCUACAAAGGCCUGGUGCUACUCUCCUUAGAGAUAUUCCCUUCUCCAGCAUCUACUUCCCACCAUUUGCCAACUUUAACCACCCAGGGUUCAAUGAGCUUACUGGAAAGGCAUCCUCUACUCAUUCUUUCAGGUCAGGCUGUGCAGCAGGUUCCAUAGUUUGCAGUCACGGUGACACUUCUGGACAUUCUGAAAACUUGAGUCCAAACCCUCAAAGAAGGCCUGGGAUGAGGACAUUUGUGGCAGGGUCACCACUGUGCCAGCAAACUUCUUCAUAAAGAGAGCAGGCUGCCAGGCCCCAUCACAGCACCUCUCUGGGAAUGCUCAGGACAUCUAUUUCAUUGGUAUUGGAGAGUAUAUCUUAAGGUGUUUUG
rnacentral:lncRNA from 10 species